AAAGAAGCUCUUAUGAUGAUUUUUAAAUUGGGCUUUUAGUAUCUAGUGCGUGGUUGAGCUUGAAAUUGAUCGGCAUUUUAUUAGGAUGAAGUUAAAGAUUGUUGUUUUAUAUAUCAAGCCACUUGCUAUAUAAAUUGAAAAUCAAUUGAUUUGAUGAGGAGAUAAUCACUUAGGUUGUGAAACUGAAUUAGUUGUUUAAUGACAGUAUUAAUGGUAGAUUGCGUAAAGUUCAGGAAAGAUGAAUUACUUUUUUAUUUGAAAAUGAGUAGAAUGUGUUACCAUGGCUAUUUUGAGUAUUGGACUCGAACAAUUACCCACUAUAUGUUGUUUGUAGUUUGCAUUCAAGCAUUUGGGUUUGAUUUUAGAUAUUUGAGAUGGAAUCAAACUUAGACGAAGCGCUCAGGUUUAAAGCAAAUGCUGAGAAGAAGUUUGUAGAGAGAAAUUUUGUCGGUGCAAGGAAUUAUGCUUUAAAAGCUCAGAUGUCCUGUCCUGAACUGGAGGGCGUUUCUCAAAUGGUGGCAACUUUUGGGGUUUACAUUGCUUCAGAUAAUUUGAUUUCUAUUCAAUUCUUGGAAUGGAUCCAUCCGCAUACAAGUCUAAGUUGAAGACACGGUACAAGAAGAUGACAAUGUUGCUUCAUCUCGAUAAGAACAAAACUGUGGGUGCUGAAGGAGAAAUGGUAAUUGCUGAAGAGAGUUUUGAAUAAUUACGUAGUCUAGUUUUUGUAUUUAUAGGCUAACAUGUUUUCUUUGAUACAAGUAAUUUCAUUUUUUCAAGUGUGUAAGAAGGAUUUGUGAU
rnacentral:lncRNA from 1 species